ensembl:lncRNA
GAUUAACAUACUGUAACCAAAGCUACCCUUGGUAGCCGAAUAAUGCCACCCCUACCCAGGUUGUGCCGAUCCUUACCCUGAGAGCCCGUGAGUGUGGUGGGUCCCACGGCACAGGGCAAUGAGAAGUACAACUGGAAUGCAGUUUGCUGGCCUAAGCGCACAAAAAAGAAGUCGUGCUGGGUUGCACAGGUAGCCCCAAGCUGCAGGGGAGUCCUUUAAAUGGAGAGGAGGGUUUCAGGACAGCCAGGGUCACAGCAAGGGGACGUGGGAAAGACUCGCCGUGGCUGGCGUGGACAGAGGAAGAAGGAGCCAGGAGCCAAGCCACGCAGGUGGCCUGGAGAGAUGGAAAAGGCAACUUGAAACAAAAACCAACCCAAAGGCUUUCCCUCCCCUGGAGCCUCCAGAAAAUAAGGUGUCCCUGCAGACAAUUUUGAUCCAGGCAGACCUGUGAUCCACAGGCUGCGAGAUCAUAAAUGGAGGUCGGGUUAAGCCACUGUGUUUGCAGUCGUGUGUUGCACUCACAGAAGCCCGAGGAACGGAAUCCAGCCUCCUGCUUGCCGAAGACGAGCUCCCCCCGUCCGUAUCCAUCCCACCGCAGAAGCACACCGAGCCAUCCCUCUGAGGGAGAGUCCCGGGCAUCAUGCAGCUUACACUGCCAUCCAGCGUGGUCCCCACAGCAUCUCAAAUGACAAGCUGCCGAACCGAGCUGCCUGGAGGCAGGACACCUGUCACACGGGGCGGGAUUGGGGGUGGGGGGCUGCUCAUGCUCUGCGCUGCUCAAAGGGCCUGGCUCACUCGGGCCAGGAGGGCCUCACUCUCCUCUGCGUCUGGCUCCAGCAUCCUGCGGCCCCCACGGGGCCAGGUUCCGUGUCCGACGGCUGUGCCGCCUACUGCCUGAUGAGGACUCUGUUCUGAAAACCUGCACUCUCCCUCGAGAAUCCAAGCGCGCCUUCCAGCAGGGGCUUCAGGCAUGCAGGACCAAAAGCAAGGAGCAGAGGCGUGCCCAUUGUGGCUCAGCGGCAGCAAACCUGACUAGUAUCCAGGAGGAUGCAGGUUCGAUCCCUGGCCCUGCUCUGUGGGUUAAGGAUGCUGUGUUGCCAUGAGCUGUGGUGUAGGUCGCAGACGCGGCUUGGAUCCUGCAUUGCUGUGGCUGUGGUGCAGGCCUGUGGCUGCAGCUCCCUGGUCUGGGAACGUCCCUAGGCCGUGGAUAUGCCCCUAAGAAGGGGAACAAACAAACAGUGAGGAGGGAGCUCAGUGUGGGAACUGGGGUCCUCAGGAUAAACCCACCCGUACCUGAAACCAGGACCAGACUCGCCCUCUGCAUCCGAGCCCCGGGUCGCACAGGCCCGGGUCGGGGCAGGGUGUCAGCGCACGGGGUCCUUCCUCUGCUGAGAGUCAGUGGUGAACGCCCUGACUCACCCACCCGGACAGAGCAAGCUGUGCGAGAUGCUCACCGCACUGCAGACACAGAGAAGACCCGCCCGGGGCCUCUCUUCAAGUCCUCGGGGCUCCACGCGAUGAGCAUCCUUCUGUUCCUGCUCAGCAGGCACCACUCCCGGCCUUCUAACCGCUUCGGGAAGCUCUGGGAGAGACGGCGACCCGCGCUGCUGAGGACGUGGAGAAGCCAAAACCCUCCGACGUUUGGGGCAGGAGCGGACAACAACACAGCCCCUCUGGAAAACUGUCUUACGGUUCCUCAGAAAGAGAAACCCGGAGCUACAGACGGCCCAGCAGUGCCACCCAAGGGACAUGAAACCACAUGUCUACACAAAACCUGCGCACAGGGAGUUCCCGUCGUGGCUCAGGGGAAACCAAUCCGACUGGAAACCAUGAGGUUGCGAGUUCGAUCCCUGGCCUCGCUCAGCGGGUUAAGGAUCCGGUGUUGCUGUGGCUGUGGCUGUGGCCGGCAGCUGCAGCUCUGAUUCCACCCCUGGCCAGGGAACCUCCACAUGCCGCGGGUGGAGCCCUAAAAAGACAAAAAAACAAACAAAGGUUUCUAUAGGGCAACUGCUCUCUUUCAGCAAGAGAAAGGCCUGUGGCUCAGCAGGUUAAGAAGCAGACAUAGUCUGAUGAAAGGCAACAAGAUCCAGCUGUCCAGCACAGGGAACUGUAUCACUGACGACUGUGAUGGAGCAUGAUGGAGGAUAAUGUGAUAAAAGGAAUAGAUAUUUACAUGUAUGAAUCAAUGAAUGACUGGGUCACUUUACUGUACAGCAGAAAUUGACAGAAUGCUGUAAAUCAAGCAUAAUAAAAAUUAUUUUUAAAGAAGGCAUGGUAUGUUUUUCCCCUUUUACAGCUACAACUGCAGCAUGUGGACAUUCCCAGACUAAGUGUUGAAUGGGAGCUGCAUCCGCCCGCCUACACCACAGCCACAGGAACAUCAGAUCCAAGCUGCACCUGCGACCUACACUGAAGCUUAUGGCCAUGCUGGAUCCUUAACCCACUGAAGGAGGCCAGGGAUUGAAACCACAUCCUCACAGACACUGUGUGGGGGGUUCUUAACCUGCUGAGCCACAGUGGGAACUCCAGGUGGGGUAUUUUUUAUACAAACGACACUGCUGACCCCACAUUAUGUGUCUCAAAACGUCACUAAUUUGUGAUACCUUCUUUGAUGUGUCACACACACAUAGUUGUGAAUAUCGAGUGGUCGCAAAUGCUCCUAGUUGUAUAGCUUUUCACUGAGUCACUGGAGGAACCCUUGUAAUAUCAAAAGAGCCCUAAAAGUCCUACAAACCAGCUUAAUAAACAAUGAAACAUUUGAUGUUAAAAUGAGAUGCGUCCGGAGUUCCCGUCGUGGCGCAGUGGUUAACGAAUCCGACUAGGAACCAUGAAGUUGCGGGUUCGGUCCCUGCCCUUGCUCAGUGGGUUAACGAUCCGGCGUUGCCGUGAGCUGUGGUGUAGGUUGUAGACGCGGCUCGGAUCCCGAAUUGCUGUGGCUCUGGUGUAGGCCAGUGGCUACAGCUCCGAUUCGACCCCUAGCCUGGGAACCUCCAUAUGCCGCGGGAGCGGCCCAAAGAAAUAGCAAAAAGACCAAAAAAAAAAAAAAAAAAAAAAUGAGAUGCGUCCACAAUUCGGCCAGUGAUUUUACGAGACGUACGCCCAACCGGAGCAGACGUUUGACAGUUUAAAAUACAUCUCAUCGACAGGUCUCGCAAAAUCUGUCUCCAGGUACCAAGGGCAACCCCCGCUCCUCUGCUUCCACUCUGCAUAGAGCCUAAGACCCCAGGGAUGAGAACUCCCCCGUGGGCUCUUGCCAACGCUCCCAAACUUUCCCACUUCUGUGUGAUCCGUCCCACAACCACCCCGACUUGAAAAGGGGACAUUCUGUUUAUGCCAAGGUAAGAAUCAUCCAGAGAUCUUGGGAGGCGGGGCUUUUGAAACAUUCAACACGUGCAAAGAGAACCAAGAAGCGGAAAGUCACGACGGACUGAAGCGGGGACGUGAAGAGGGUGUGGGUGCGACGAUGCAAAGGGGCCCUUCGAGGACAGUGUCAACUCUAGGACCACGUAAAGGUUUUUAUUUGCAAAAACAUCCUUACUCUCCAAAGGUUCGGGAAAAGAGAAAGAGGAGGGCAGGGAGAGGAGCGGGGGCAGAGGGGAGGGGAAGAGCGCAAAGGACAGAAAACAGCUACUGCUGGACAGAGGAAGCAAGGCUGGCAAAACGCUAACAACGGAUGGAUGCAUUCUGUACGUUUUCCACGGGUUUGAAAUGUUUCAACACACAAAGUUGGAGGAAAAGAACGGAAUCCAUAUUGGCUUGAACUGAGUUAUGCUGCUCUGACACCAGCUGCUCUGGCUACUCCUCGCCUUCAAUGAAACAUCCAGUCAAGUCACUCUUGACACUUUAAUACAAGUUCGAAUUAUUCUCAUUAAAAAAAAAAAACAAACCCACUGACCUUGCAUCUGUGCCAACCUUGGUAUUUCUAGUUUACAGUGCAACUAUUUCUAGUUCCCCCACAGCCAUGAGCAGGGCAGGUGUGCCCAUCCUCCCGCUGCAGACUCAGCAAGGCCUGGCCCUGUAUGGAGGACGCCGAGAGCUGCAGGCUAGAAACCCCGCCAGCAUUUCCACAGACAUCACCCAUCCCCAGCUCUCUAGCUAGGAUGCCUCCCCAGAAUGCCUCACGACGAAUAGCAUGAGUCUCAUUUCUCGUGUUCCCCACUGAGCAAAGACCUAACAAUGAGCAGGAGUUUGGAAUAUUUUAAAAUAAUUCACAAUAGCACUGGCAUACUUUUCUUAGAAUGCAAGGUGAUGGUACUAGAUGGUAGUACUAAGUGGUGGUGGUGCUAGGUGGUAGUGCUAGGUAGUAGUGCUAAGGGGUAGUGUGAGGUGGCAGUACUCAGUAAUGCUAGGUAGUAGUGUUAGGUGGCAGUGCUAGGUGAUAGCACUAGGUGGCAGUGCCAUGUGGCAGUACUAAGUGUUAGAUGGAGUGCUGGGGGUCCUCCACGUGGCAUUGCUAGGUGGUAGUACUAGGUGGUAGUGCUAGGAAGUAGUACCAGGUGGCAGUGUUAAGUGGCAGUACUAGGAGGUAGUAUUUGAGCAACAGGGUGAAAACUGUGCCUGUCAGUCCUGGCCAGGGUAUAAGUUCAGGAGGGGGAGGGAAUGGGAUUUUGGCUGUUGUUAAGAACAGCAGAUCAGCCUGUCAAACACAUGGCUUACAGCCUAGUGAAGUUUCCAUUCUCGCCCAGCACUCAUGACUAUUCCCUCGACAAGGCUUGCGAGAGGGGAUGUGUAACAGCACCCAGUACCCUCGCCUCCUCCCCAGGUGACACGCUUCCUCACGAGAAACCCUAACCAGUACCAGACCCACCACCUCAACCUGAGACAGGCCCUUGAUGCGCGACCAAGCCGUGCCCCAGCCCCUGGUCCCUGCACGAGGCCGAAGGCGGCUGGAGGGCUCGGGGCUACUCUGGAGGCAAUGGAACUUCCGUCGUGAGCUUCCCAGCUGGGCUGAGAGCACCUGCAUGCAGGCGCUGUGCCCUGUUCUCUUGGCCUUCACCCUGGCGGGCCACUGGUGCUGCGGGUGCGAUGCUCAGUUGCCCUCGCUCAGAGCUCCCUUCUCAGGUGUCCAUCGUCCUGAGGUGCGGGUCGCCCUUGGCUGACUCGGGCGCCUCCUCGAGGCCCUCUCUGCGCAGGGGGGGGGUCCCUGGCCUCGAGGGAGGACAGUACGUGGGCGGCUACUGGGCUUUGCCCUGAAAUCGUAUGUUGGGGGGCGAAUGUUCUAGUCCCCGUUCCAGGCACCCCGGUUGUCGCCUAGAAGACCUCAGGGACGUCCAUCCAAAUAAAUGAUUUGAGAGUAAGAUUUAAUGGGGUGUCUCCCCACUCGUCCUUUGUCACUGAGAGACCACGAGGGCCAGGUGUCACCAGGACAGCUUCCCCUUUCUCCCGCCUCGUGUGGUCUGCUUUCAGUCCGCUGGGUGGGCUCGAAUGCCUCACCCUGAUGUGAGCUGGUGGCAGAAGAGCAGGAGGAAGAGGAGGAGAAGGCACGCACAGCUGUCCCGAGCGGGAGAGCCCACGCUUGACGGCGACCUCCCAGCAUCCUCAGUGCGGAGACACGUGAGACACAGAGGGCUUCCCGUUGGCCCAGAUCGCCAGGGCCUACCUAGAUGCCCCGCCUCCCUCCAGCCAGCUGAGGUCCCACUCCGUCCCCUGGUCCCCCCGACAAAGGACACGGGGAGGAGUCAUCAAAUCCAGUCCAGGGAGGCACGGAGGCACGAGGGACACUGAACAGGAAAGCCAGGCACGAACUCCUGUCGGCAUUCACCGUAAAUUCCUGACUUUAAAUCGCACUUUCCCGGGUCUGCAAACGGGGUAACAGGCCCAGGCCUGCCUGUCUCACGGGGAUGCACGGAGAUCGAGCCAGACCUAGACCGUCUGGAAACAGCAAAGCACGGACCACCGCCCGCUAGGGUGACCAGGGAUGGGGGCAACGGGCCUAGGGUUCACGCUGCCUUUGUCCUGCGAGUGCCCAGGAAUCGAAGAGCUGAGCUGACACCAUGCUGGCCAAGGGACACCUUCUCAGGACAUGUGCAAUUGGAGGCGCUUCCAACCAGCGAAAGCACAGAGUCACACGGACUUCUGUUAUGAUUUGAGGGUACGCUCAGCUGGUCCAGCAC